rnacentral:rRNA from 1 species
AGAGUUUGAUCCUGGCUCAGGACGAACGCUGGCGGCGUGCCUAAUACAUGCAAGUGGGACGCAAGGGAACACACUGUGCUUGCACACCGUGUUUUCUUGAGUCGCGAACGGGUGAGUAACGCGUAGGUAACCUGCCUAUUAGCGGGGGAUAACUAUUGGAAACGAUAGCUAAUACCGCAUAAUAUUAAUUAUUACAUGAUAAUUGAUUGAAAGAUGCAAGCGCAUCACUAGUAGAUGGACCUGCGUUGUAUUAGCUAGUUGGUAAGGUAAGAGCUUACCAAGGCGACGAUACAUAGCCGACCUGAGAGGGUGAUCGGCCACACUGGGACUGAGACACGGCCCAGACUCCUACGGGAGGCAGCAGUAGGGAAUCUUCGGCAAUGGACGAAAGUCUGACCGAGCAACGCCGCGUGAGUGAAGAAGGUUUUCGGAUCGUAAAGCUCUGUUGUAAGUCAAGAACGUGUGUGAGAGUGGAAAGUUCACACAGUGACGGUAGCUUACCAGAAAGGGACGGCUAACUACGUGCCAGCAGCCGCGGUAAUACGUAGGUCCCGAGCGUUGUCCGGAUUUAUUGGGCGUAAAGGGAGCGCAGGCGGUCAGGAAAGUCUGGAGUAAAAGGCUAUGGCUCAACCAUAGUGUGCUCUGGAAACUGUCUGACUUGAGUGCAGAAGGGGAGAGUGGAAUUCAUGUGUAGCGGUGAAAUGCGUAGAUAUAUGGAGGAACACAGUGGCGAAAGCGGCUCUCUGGUCUGUCACUGACGCUGAGGCUCGAAAGCGUGGGUAGCGAACAGGAUUAGAUACCCUGGUAGUC